AAAAUGUUGACUGCAUGACGGCGGUUUAAUACAUGCAGUCGGCGGAGAUUGCAGCGAUGUAAUCUUAGUGGCGAACGGGUGAGUAACGCGUUGGUGACCUGCCCCAAAGCGUGGGAUAACAGUUCGAAAGGACUGCUAAUACCGCAUGAAGUUACAGGCGUUAGAGAACUGUAACGAAAGGUGCAAACCGCUAUGGGAGGGGCCUGCGUCCCAUCAGCUAGUUGGUAGGGUAAAAGCCUACCAAGGCGACGACGGGUAGGGGGCCUGAGAGGGUGACCCCCCACACUGGCACUGAAACACGGGCCAGACACCUACGGGUGGCAGCAGUAGGGAAUAUUGGUCAAUGGGCGAAAGCCUGAACCAGCAACGCCGCGUGCACGAUGAAGGCCUUCGGGUCGUAAAGUGCUUUUCGGGGAGACGAGGAAGGACGGUAUCCCCGGAAUAAGGAUCGGCUAACUACGUGCCAGCAGCCGCGGUAAAACGUAGGAUCCGAGCGUUAUCCGAAUUCACUGGGCGUAAAGCGCGUGUAGGCGGUUCGGUAAGUUGGAUGUGAAAUCUCCUGGCUCAACUGGGAGGGGACGUUCAAUACUGUCGGACUAGAGGACGGCAGAGGAAGGUGGAAUUCCCGGUGUAGUGGUGAAAUGCGUAGAUAUCGGGAGGAACACCAGUGGCGAAGGCGGCCUUCUGGGCCGUUUCUGACGCUCAGACGCGAAAGCUAGGGGAGCAAACGGGAUUAGAUACCCUGGUAGUCCACGCCGUAAACGAUGGGCACUAGGUGUAGGAGGUAUUGACCCCUUCUGUGCCGAAGUUAACGCAUUAAGUGCCCCCGCCUGGGAGUACGGCCGCAAGGUUA
rnacentral:rRNA from 1 species